CUCCCAACUGGAUACAUACUUCAAUUAUUGGAAGAUUCCUUUCGGUGAAAUCUGCAGAAAAAUGGCGCUGAUGAGAGGAGAGCCGCUGGUGAGGAAACUCGCUCUGUUCGCCAAGUACGCUGUUCUGCCGGCAGCCAUGGCCGCUGCUCUCGUUUACUCUCCUCCCGAUUACGUUUAUUACAAGAAUGACGAUAAGUCAUCCAAAUAGGACACUUUCCCCCACCUGUUCGGUUCGUCUCGAUCUGUCAUCCCUUAGGGACCGUCUGAUCAUGUAGGCUUGCAUUUGCAGAGUUGUAUUCCUCUUAUGUUGAUAAUGGUGUGUACUGGACUUAUUAUCAUCAUCUCUCAAUAACUCGUAGUUUGUUUUACUUUUGUGGCUUCAUCUUCGGAGAAAAAAAAAUAAUAAUUUGUUUCCUUGAAGAAUAUUCAAAAUGGGAAGUAUAAAUUUCCUGUUCUUAUC